CCUCUCGGGGGUAAGCGGGCAGAACUUGCAAGAAUUGAUGAGAAGAUUCAGACUUAGUGUCGAUGGCUGAGAGUAUUAUGUUAAGCUGUUUGUUCGCAAACGUGCUGGUUGCUACUCUUUGAUCUGUUGACGAUGCGUCGCAUUUCUUCUCAUCUUCGGAUUGCAUGCAACUGAUGUAGUAGUCUUAGGUGCUAAGAUCCUGCAAAUCCUUGUGGUUUGAGACUUGGUUUCCGACUACUUUUGUGGUUGUUGAUGGCGAACUGGCAUUUAAUGCGGUCAAAUUUAUGCACGAGCCGUGUACAUGUUUGAUGUCGACGAGCAAUCGUAAUAUGUUUCAUGUACUGGUUGUCGGUGUGUAAUUUUUGGCACAGUUCAGUAUUGCAAUCUAAAGAAUGCGUGAUCUGCCUGU
rnacentral:rRNA from 1 species